GAUGGAUUCAUGACAAAAUUGUGUUUUGGUGAUGGUGAUGUGUUUGUACAUCUUACUUUACUCUUACUUUACUAAAUAGUCUUGCUGCUUACAAUUAUCUCUAUCUAUAAUGAACUUGGCCUAGUAGUUUCAGUGGAAAAUGUUAAUAAAAAUUUACAAAUUUUAUGAAAAUUGUUAACAAGAGGCUGUCACAACGACAGCAAACCGGAUUUAUUAACAUUUAUUUGUGUCCUGGCAAUAUCACAAGAACCAUAACUGAUGAAUGCUGAAAGUGAAAAUCGUCAAUAUCAAAUUUGACCUCCAUUUUGUAGUCAGUAUCAACAUAUUAAAAUUUGAAAAGCUUAGAUUGAAGGGUUCAUUAGUAAAUGCAACAACGUGAAUGGAAACGCCAUUUUACGAUCUUUCAAGAACCAUAACUCCUGAACGGUAAAAGUCAAAAUCGUCAUUAUUGAACUUGACCUCUAUUUUGUCAUCAGUAACAACAAAUAAAAAUUUCAAAAGCUUUGGUUGAAUGGUUUAUGAGAAAAUGCACGGACACGACUGGAAACACC
rnacentral:lncRNA from 1 species